rnacentral:rRNA from 1 species
AUUGAACGCUGGCGGCAGGCCUAACACAUGCAAGUCGAACGGUAACAGGAAACAGCUUGCUGUUUCGCUGACGAGUGGCGGACGGGUGAGUAAUGUCUGGGAAACUGCCUGAUGGAGGGGGAUAACUACUGGAAACGGUAGCUAAUACCGCAUAACGUCGCAAGACCAAAGAGGGGGACCUUCGGGCCUCUUGCCAUCGGAUGUGCCCAGAUGGGAUUAGCUAGUAGGUGGGGUAACGGCUCACCUAGGCGACGAUCCCUAGCUGGUCUGAGAGGAUGACCAGCCACACUGGAACCGAGACACGGUCCAGACUCCUACGGGAGGCAGCAGUGGGGAAUAUUGCACAAUGGGCGCAAGCCUGAUGCAGCCAUGCCGCGUGUAUGAAGAAGGCCUUCGGGUUGUAAAGUACUUUCAGCGGGGAGGAAGGGAGUAAAGUUAAUACCUUUGCUCAUUGACGUUACCCGCAGAAGAAGCACCGGCUAACUCCGUG